AUUGAACGCUGGCGGCAGGCCUAACACAUGCAAGUCGAGCGAGCGGCUGACGGGUGAGUAAUGUAUGGGGACUGCCCGAUAGAGGGGGAUAACUUCUGCAAACGGUGGCUAAUCCCGCAUACUAUCGGAUAACCUAUAUGGUAUUAGCUCGUAGGUGGGGUAAAGGCUCACAUAGGCGACGAUCCCUAGCUGGUCUGAUAGGAUGAUCAGCCACACUGGGACUGAGACACGGCCCCGAUUCCUACGGAGGCAGCAGUGGGGAAUAUUGCACAAUGGGCGCAAGCCUGAUGCAGCCAUGCCGCGUGUAUGAAGAAGGCCUUAGGGUUGUAAAGUACUUUCAGCGGAGAGGCGUUACCCGCAGAAGAAGCACCGGCUAACUCCGUGCCAGCAGCCGCGGUAAUAC
rnacentral:rRNA from 1 species